rnacentral:rRNA from 1 species
GAGACUGACAAGUCGAGCAGGGACGAAAGUCGGGCUUAGUGAUCCGGUGGUUCCGUAUGGAAGGGCCAUCGCUCAACGGAUAAAAGCUACCCUGGGGAUAACAGGCUUAUCUCCCCCAAGAGUCCACAUCGACGGGGAGGUUUGGCACCUCGAUGUCGGCUCAUCGCAUCCUGGGGCUGUAGUCGGUCCCAAGGGUUGGGCUGUUCGCCCAUUAAAGCGGUACGCGAGCUGGGUUCAGAACGUCGUGAGACAGUUCGGUCCCUAUCCGUCGCGGGCGCAGGAAAUUUGAGAGGAGCUGUCCUUAGUACGAGAGGACCGGGAUGGACGUUCCGCUGGUGUACCAGUUGUGCCGCCAGGCGCAUCGCUGGGUAGCUAUGAACGGCAGGGAUAAACGCUGAAAGCAUCUAAGUGUGAAGCCCCCCUCGAGAUGAGAUUUCCCAUUCCUAUAUGGAAGUAAGACCCCUGAGAGAUGAUCAGGUAGAUAGGCUGGAAGUGGAAGUGCAGCGAUGCAUGGAGCGGACCAGUACUAAUCGGUCGAGGACUUAACCAA